UCACGUAUUGUGCAUUUUCCUAAGGCUUGGAAAUAUAGUCGAUUUUUUCAAAUAUUCAGUAGUAUUAUGGUAAUUAUUAACUGUCAUAUUUCAUUUCUUCUCAUGAACAUCCAGCAUCAUUUUUAAGGGGCCACAGAACGCAACACGUUCUUUGCAGCUGGCAGCUCUCAUCAUUGUAAUUACUGAGUACCCUUAAAGUUUUAUUCUAAAUUCAAAUCAGAAUGGAAAGCAUGCAGUUACACUGGGAAAGUUUAUUUGCUAAUCGUGUACAAAUCACUGUUGAAAUCAUAGGAGUUUGACAACCCUUGUGAAUUUAUGUAAUUGUUUUGUGCUGUAUAAGUGUACAGGGAAUAAGUUUUGUGUUUGUUUCUAGGCGCAGAAGAAGCGGAAAUCCAAUGAAUCUGUAGAUACAGAACUCUGUCUUAAUGAGAAUGCUAUUGGGAAAGACAACACACCAGGAGUCUCCACCAGUCACAUAUCCUCGGAGAAUUCAUUUGCUCUUCCUACAAGCUUCUAUCCAAGCACACCGCUCAUUCUGAUGACAGUUGCACUCUCACUCUUUUUGUUCCUAAGCUCAUCAGUCGUCUUGUAGCUGCAUUGCAAAAGGACAUGUAAAAAAAAAUCUCUUUCCUGUCCUCUGUUGUUUAUCUGGAAUUCCAGGUCUGGGGGGCUAAGCUGAGGCACUCCUGCUAGAACAGUCUGUCAGCUGGAAUUUUUUUUUCUCUCUCUAAAAAAGCUUCUUGUGAUAUUUAGAGGCUUUGUGAAAUACUUGGUGCAGUGCUACAUUCCAAACCCAACAGGCUUUUGGGCAUGCAGUGUUUUAAAGAGACGGUGUAUAAAUUUGCCUGUAAAGCGAUCUGGUUGGAUUAUUUUAAUAAUGAUAUUAAUUCUGGCCUUUGCCUGAGAAAGGAGGAUGGCAGUUUUUAUAAGAUCCUCAUUUAUCUCAUUGGAUGGUUUUGGUUUUCAAAUUGCUCAAACUCCAGAUUAUCAAGGAUGCCAGGCUUUUGUCUAAUGGUGAAUGUUCUCCCAGAGAGUGGACUUUAUGAAACUUCAUUUGAUACAUUGCAACUGAUGUUAAACUCUUUCAGUGUAUUAGCAUUUUCCUCUUUAAAUGUUUACAUACUGUAAGUGAUUCUGCGUUCCCUGCUGAGAAGCCAUUCUAAUUCGCAUACAGGUAUAAUGUAUGUCUUUCAGUUAAAUUCUCAUAGAGUGUGGCGUAGAACUUUCUAACAAAACAUUUAUCUUUUAAUUAUAAUCAUCUAGCCUUAACAAGGGUGAAGAUUCUUUAAAUUAACAAGAAGCAGCCAUUGUGAAAGUUCCAUAAACGUACAUUUCAUAAACUUGGAUGAUGAACAGUAGAAAAAAAUUUUGCUGCAGGGUUUCAGUUGUACAGUCAGUGGUCUUCUAUGAUUCCAUUGUGACAAUAUAGCCCAAUUAUUAUACUGUUCAUUCAAUUAAAAAAGAUACGCAUUUUACUUGCUCUACUAAAACAGCAUUAUCUGUUUAUAUAUAGCUGAUAAUGUCAGCUCAGAAAGUUACAGGAACGUCAUACCUUACUUCUUUUAUCACAACAUUGUAAAGGGAAAAAAAAAAAGGCAGUAGGAUAUCAUUUAAACCGUGGUUUAUUACUGAGACUGCUAAAACCAGCACAAAAGGAUGGUUGAUCCAGUUACAAGGCAGCGUCAUGCACACUCACCCAUGUGACAGGCGUUUCUCACCCUCGUCGUCCUUACGGCAGCCCAUGGGAUUGUUGACAUGAUGAGCUGUUUGCAAGACCUGUUCCAUAAAUGUUUUAAUGGUUUGGAUGGCAGUAUUGCCAGCAUACAUGAUUGGAUCACUUUGGCUUUCAUUCAGUGACACUGACAGUAUGUGCUGGCUCAUGGUGACUUUCUGCGGUAUGUGGAAGGGAUCCUUUAAAGUUUUAAGUGUCAUCAGACAGGCAGUGUUUUUCUCCCGAGGGCUGUCCUUAUACCUUCCUGUGACGGCUUGGUGACUGUUACAAGCAGUUGUGUCUAAAUGAUCAACAGUAAUCGGUUUUUGUUUUUCCUGGAGUAGGAGAUGAUUUUACCAAGCAAAGAAUUCUUCAUGCUGAAUGUACAGAUUUACAUUGAGACUUACACAAUACCGCCCAAGCCUGCUUUGAAACGCCUGGAUCAGUUAUUUGCCAUACAACUGUAAGGUACAAAUUACUGUUUUAUGAACAACAAUGAAAUUUGGGAGUUUGCAGAAUAAGCCUUUUACUAAGAGAUCAUUAAGCCUAUUGACCAGUUCAUCUUUUGAGCUUUUUCUUAGCUAAUAGCAAACACUUUCAGAAAUUACAGAAUUCACUUACGUACUCUUGAUUAUGGUCACAUGAUAUAGGUUUCAAAGCACUGCGUAUGUGAUAGAAUUCUAAGAUACUCUGUGCCACUGAACAUAACAAAUUAGACACUAUUACUCUUUAAUUCUGUGCUGAUAAGAAACUGCAAAUUACUUUCAAAGGUGUCAGAACUGCUUUUGCAAGAAAUAUAUAGCAUAUCAUUACCAGCAAAGCCCAUGUGGUUCCUAUUGCUCUUCUUGUAGAAACUAAUCAAAUUAUUGAAAACUAGUGACAACAGAAAAAAAGAUAAUGAGAUUCAUGAUUUAAAAAAUAAAUCAAAUUAUUUUAUGUCAAAAGGAGCUGAUAGUAUAACCUAUUGAAAUGGAAAUGAACACAGCGUUACAAUCCAGAAGUCUGACAUUACCCAAUUAAAAAUAUUUUCAAAACAAAUUCAUAAACAUUACAAUUAUUAAAUCCAUCUUUGAUCCACAAAGCUUUCUUUAAAAUAUCAUUUGUAUUCAGCACAUUAAAUACUUUAAGCAGUAUCAGGAAUUUUAAUAACCUCCCAGUAUAGUGCGUAGCUUUUUGAAGCUUUUAUACAUUUGGUUUGAUUACAGUAUCAGUAUUUAAUAUAAAUUAUUAGAGCUGUGACACUGUGUGAUCCAGAAUAAAAGCUAUUGAUCACUUAUGCUAUAAACAACAAUCUAAUUAGCUUCUGAUUACAAAAUAAAUGUCUAGUUAUCUGAUUCAAUGAGAGUUACCUUUGGAAAUACAAUUAUGGAUACAGUAGAGGAGGAAAUGGUGUUUUACAAAGCUAGCCAUGUUACCACAGACAACACAGAGCACUCAAGCUUUCUUUCCUAAAUUAAAAGCAUACUGAAUUCUUAAUUAAAAAAAUAAAUUGCUUAUUAAACAGGCAAGAGGGAAAAAACCCUAAGAGUCUGACACUUAAUGAGGUUUUUACAGACAACAUCAUGAAAAUAUUGGAGGAUUUUUAGAAAUUGGAUGUGGUGUGGAUGAUGUCAAUUUAGCAUGGUGACCUUGUCAGUGCAGUCAUUUACUACAGUACUGAAGUAUGCAGAUGAUUGUUUUAUUUUCCCCCUUCUAGCCACUAAAAUGCCUUGUAUUGAGUGCUCAGCCAACAAGCUAAGACUGGCUUUUAUAUCGUCCUUUAACAAAUUAAUUUUACCAAUGUAGCAAUAAUAUAGGAACUGUCCAAAUACAGGAUGUACAUACAGAUGACCUACUGUUUAAAUUGUAAAUUUAACCAAUUCAGUUGUGUUUAAAUUAAAUCACGGACUACCAUAAACAUUUACAAGUCAUCUUUUUCAUUUAAUGUCAUAGAACAGAUGUUGUCAUUAGUAUUAUUAGGAGUGUGUAUACACUGCCACGUUAAAUAGCUUGACUAGUGUGUUUAUGUUUCUCCGUAAAAUUAGUACUCAGAUUAAAUUCACUCCGAACUGAUGUGGCUGAUGUUUUAGCAGUAUUUAAAUAGGUAUUAAUUCCACGAGGAAAGAGGCAAGGAUGAUGAGCAUUUUAGGAAAAAAAAAUACCAACCAAGGCUUUCCCCUGCCCCACAGGGGACCAGUGGAGAUGGAGACAUCCAGCACUGUACAGCCAUCAUGCACCGAGUCCUUCUCCCUGAUUUGGUCAGGAGAGAGAUGCUGAGGGCUGUGCAGCAAGCCUCCAUCCAUCCCAUUGCACGGCUUCAUUCCCACCGUGUCAUUAGGAAGAAUUAGGAGGAACGGGAAUUCUUAAUCAUUUCAGAGCAUUUUGCAGUCUCUGAGUCUCUGUCUGGAGACUUAUUUCCAGCCUAUUUUGUUUUAAUGAAGUUACAUCCUUGUAAGACUCAACCUUUAGAAAAUGAGGCUGUUCAUAAUUUGAGGAGAACUACAGUUUGAGUCAGUACACUGAAAACAUGAGCAUAGACAUUAUUUGCUUGCAAUUAAGCUGGAGAUGAACAAAACAGGAAGAAUCACCUUAAAAUCUCAGUCUGAUCUUAAUUUGUGAUUCUUAGCUUAAUCUCAAUGAUAUUUCCACAGAGAAGACAUGGUGAGAAACCAGUGAAGGAGAAGAGCAAAACUCAGAGCAGCUCCCUAAAGGGACAUAAAUCAUGUGUAUGUCAAGUGACAGGAGCAUCUCAUACUUAGCACUUGGGAUUCUUUGAAAUAAAAGAGCUGGAUUCUGUUAGGACCAGCGCUCCAUCAGAGUAAGCAGUAAAAGUUGAGAAUAUCUGCACAGCAAUUAGAACUUCCUUUAAUAAAUUCCAGUUGUUAUUUUUCUUCACCAAGGUGGAUCUACCUCGUUGAAAAAUAUGCAAUCACUGGCAGGACUUCUGCAUUAAAACUUCUGAAUAAAUGCAUCUGAGCUAAAGAGGCCCCCAAGGUUGUUUUAUACCCAUGAGGUUAUUCAGAUUCUACCUGAUGUCCAUUACUUCAAACAGAAGUGUGUUUGAUUCUGAUGACCUUGGCAGAGAAAUUAAUCCAGUGACUUGUUAAAUAUUUCCCAUCUUUAAAUAUUUGCUUUUUCUUACCAGCUCUGUUCUUUCUAUGACAUUUCAAUUAUUGGCUAUUUCAGCUUCCCCUUUUAACUUCGGAAGGUCAUUUUCUCCAUACUCUACAGUAAUCCACAUUUGCCUUAUAGACUUAUCUGUGUUUGUUUUUGUUUUGCUUUGUUUUUCAAUUACAGCCUCCUCUUCUGAGAAAAAAAGCUGUGAUCAGGAAUAUGUCUCUGCUGAACCAUCAACGCUUUUUCAGGCAGAGCAAAUUGCAAAUUCCUAUUUUAUCUGUUUAGCACUAGUUUGGCUAGUACAAGCUAAAACAUGAUGUUUCUAUUCCCCAGAUGGAAUUUAAAAUUUAGUUUGAUACCGAGUAAGGAUUAAAAAGUUUUAAACUUUCACAGUCUUUCAGAAAUAUUUAAAUAUUUUUAAUGUAUUUUCCACUUGGAAUUUCUGUCAAAUAGAAACAGUGUCACUAAAUAAUAAUUAUUUUUUUUCAAAGGUAAGAAGUUACAUUGUAAAAUAUAGAUGUGUCCAUUUGACGGUAAAAUCAGGGAGGGUGAUAAAUUCCCAUUUUUAUCUCAGUAUUGUCAUCACUUUCAUAUGCUCUCAUUCCAUGCUUUCUUCAUUUGCGAAUGUUUACCCAGGGGUGAUUAUACUUAACAGAUACAUUACAUGUAGGCCAGUCAGUAAUCAGAAGGUAAAUCCUACAGCUCUUACUCAGAUGCUCAGCCUCUUGGAAUUCAUAAAAGCUGGAGCAAGAAAUUCAAGACGUAGCCCACAGACUAAAAUUCAAAAGAGAGCAGUCAACCAAUUUCUCUGUAGUAUUGCUCAUCAAUAUAUACUGUGGUACUAUAAUUCUGGGCCAUUUAAACUAAUCACCAAAGUUCUCUGAGCACAUUUGACCAGGGCAGCUGCAGUUUUGGCUCUUUCACCUUUGCCAUGUGCCAAUAGCUGAACUUUGCCAUGUAUACACUUAGAAGUAAUUGCUGCCCAAAAUUGCAGCAGCCAAACCCAAUACCACUUCAGAAAGGGUUUUUCUGACCUCAUUUUCCCCUGCUUUUAGUGAUUCUAACAGGCAUCAAUUCUUUUACACGACUUUUUAAUCUCUCAGAAGGAGAAUUUCCUGUAAGUUGUAUAUGUAAGGGCAAAUAUCUUCAAAUUCCUCUUGUUGAAAUGCCACAAUAAUUAACCUCUUUGCUUACAGCCUUUCAUCCUGCCCAGCACCUUCAGUCCUUAUGAAACUGAGCAGCACUUUGGGGGAUUCAUCUUCCAGUAAAUGAAGCCAGGCUUGUUUUCAGGUUUCCUCAAGCCACUCAUUCUAAGAAUUGAUGGUAUGAUGUAGUGGAAACACUAAGUCACGGCUUCAAGCAGUGAUUGAGCACCUGGUGGAAGGCAGGGCCAAUGCAGGGGAGCUCAGGUGUAUGCAGUUCAUCUGAGUGAUUGGAAGGGAUGGAGCCAGGAUCUACCCCUUCCCAGACCUCAUUUAAGGGUCGAUAUUGGAGGCAAGAGUAUCUUGCCUACCGGAGGUUUUCUAAAGGUAAGCUGUUUUUCUUUGUUUCUCCAUCUACAGCUACUGCACUUGAGCAUAUCCUCACUUGCUGCAGCUUGGGACUCUGCUACCCUGCUGUCCUUGCUGUGUUUUCCAUCACCUUGUAGUGUUACAUAUGGAUAUACCAUCGGUAAUGUUAGGUGGUGUUAUGCUGCUCCCUAUGUCAGCUGCUUCAUCCCCAGCAAUUCUCCAGUAUUGGUACCAUUGAUGCAAAGUUCCUCAUGGGCCCUUCUGCUGGGCAUUACUUUGACGGGAGGAGAGGGUAUUUGAACUCCUGUGGUAAAGUGCAAAAAUGUUACCCUUUUUAUUGUUUCAUUCUUGUAUGAAAUACAUCCAGUGUCUCUCUUUCCCUUCUAAACUUAUUCAUUCAGCCUUCUUGGAUGCACCAAUGUGCUGAAAACAGCUGGUGCCACCCAGCUUUCAGUGACUUAAGUCCAUCUCAGAUCAGCAGUUAUCUCCAUCCGUUUCUUUCUGACCAUUUUGUGGCCAGUGGCAUAUAAGCAGUACCACAUAGGCACUACCGUGCUGCAGAAUUCUCUGGCUGGAGAUACAGAAGCAAGAAUGGUGGCACUAAUCCCUUACCACACAGAAGCCAGAAAAUAUGGUGGAACUGUGGCCUAAUUUUCAAAAUAAUAUGAAAAUAUCAAUUUUCUUUUGGGUUGAGACAAACACAUUCACCCUUAAUUUUACUUGAGAAGACUGUAGUAACUCCUAGAGGUGGAACAAAGUCCUUUGGAUUGCAUCUGGCAUUUGGGAGCACAUAACCCAGACUGAGCUGUGUGUUUAAAAAA